AGGGAAGAGCCUCAGGGGUGAAUUGGGUGGGCUCCCGCCCUGACCCGGAUUGUGCAAUAGAGGACGUUGUUUUUCGCGCUUGAGACCCGAAAGCUUUGAGUUGUNGGAAAGGCAGUUCACAGAGGGUGAUAGUCCCGUAUGGGGCUGUCGGUGGAACUGCGCUUGUGAGACACGCUGGUGAGGUCGGCGUAGUUUUCGUAUUGCUGGGCGAAUUGGGGUGGUAGAUACCAUCUAAAAGCUAAAUAUACUGCCAUGUCCGAUAGCUCACAAGUACCGCGAGGGAAAGGUGAAAAGCACUUUGGAAAGAGAGUGAAACAGUGGUGAAAGGGCUAUCAGGGAAACGUUGGCUAGUCUUGUCGUCUGUCCGUCCAUGCCUCACGGCGUGGCUCGGCGAUGCGUCAGAACCCAUCGGGACCGGGAGAUACGGUACCAGAGGAAUCGGCCUUUCGGGGUGUUGCAACUCUGGAUACACACGUACUCGGCACCGAUGCGGACACAAGCAUGCAGCAAUGUUGUGCUUACUCUGACAAUAGGCUCAGUCAACGACCCGUCUUGAAACACGGACCAAGGAGUGUAUCUUGCUUGCGAGUCGAAGGGUCUGUAAACCUGGAGGCGUAGCGAAAGCGUAGACUGCGAAUCUUCGGAGGGGGCAGCGCCCGUGCUCUGCAUGAGGUGGAGCAAGUAGGAUGCGACCCGAAAAAUGGUGAACUAUGCCCGGGUAGGAUGAAGCCGGUGGAAACGCCGGUGGAGGUCCGUAGCGGUUCUGACGUGCAAAUCGAUCGUGUAACCUGGGUAUAGGGGCGAAAGACCUAUCGAACCGUCUAAUGGCUGGUUCCCCCCGAAGUUUCCCUCAGGAUAGC
rnacentral:rRNA from 1 species